rnacentral:rRNA from 1 species
GAUGAACGCUGGCGGCGUGCCUAAUACAUGCAAGUCGAGCGAACGGACGAGAAGCUUGCUUCUCUGAUGUUAGCGGCGGACGGGUGAGUAACACGUGGAUAACCUACCUAUAAGACUGGGAUAACUUCGGGAAACCGGAGCUAAUACCGGAUAAUAUUUUGAACCGCAUGGUUCAAAAGUGAAAGACGGUCUUGCUGUCACUUAUAGAUGGAUCCGCGCUGCAUUAGCUAGUUGGUAAGGUAACGGCUUACCAAGGCAACGAUGCAUAGCCGACCUGAGAGGGUGAUCGGCCACACUGGAACUGAGACACGGUCCAGACUCCUACGGGAGGCAGCAGUAGGGAAUCUUCCGCAAUGGGCGGAAGCCUGACGGAGCAACGCCGCGUGAGUGAUGAAGGUCUUCGGAUCGUAAAACUCUGUUAUUAGGGAAGAACAUAUGUGUAAGUAACUGUGCACAUCUUGACGGUACCUAAUCAGAAGGCCACGGCUAACUACGUG